GAGCCGCUAGCUCAUCAGGUAGAGCAACGCCCUUUUAAGGCGUGGGUGCCGAGUUCGAGUCUCGGGCGGCUCACCA
rnacentral:tRNA from 1 species